CACACGCGUGUGCACGGCCUCGCACAUGGACCCGGCUCGCACACGCAUGUGCAGAUCCUCGCACAUGGACCUGGCUCACACGCAUGUGCACCGUCCCAGACACGGACCCGGAUCGCACAUGCAUGUGCACCGUCCCAGACACGGACCUGGCUCGCACACGCGUGCGCAUGUCCUCACACAUGGACCUGACUCACACACGUGCGCACUGUCCCAGACACGGACGCGGCUCACACACACAUGUGUGUGCACAUCCUUGCACACAGACCUGGCUCGCACACGCGUGUGUGCUGCCCAGGACACGGGCACAGACCAGGCCCGCAGAGCCCUGCCGACACGCACAUGGCUCAAACACGCGUGCAGCACGUGGGCACACAAAAUGCCCCCCCCAUGCACACGCACCACGGGGUGCACACGCGUGUGACACGGGGCAGACGGACCCCUGAGCCGUGCAACCCCCCCCGACCUUGCACGAGCGCCUGCCCUGCGCACGAGCCCCCGAGCGUCGCACGAGCCCCGCGACACGCACGAGGCCCAAGCGUGGCACGAGCCCCCGAGCGUCGCACAGACCCGAGCGUCGUGCGAGCCCCCGCGACGUGCACGAGCCCCCGAGCGUCGCACAAGCUCCGGCUCUGGGCACAGACGUGAGCUUCGCACAAGCCCUGAGCCUUGCACGAACUCCCAGAGCUUUGCACGAGCCCUGCUCCAUGCACGAGUCCCCGAGCUUUGCACAAGUCCCUGAGCUUUGCACGAAACCCCUGUUGCACGAGCCCCCCCCCCCGAGCUUUGCACCAGCGCUGCCCCACGCACGAGAUCCGAGGCUUGCACGAGUCCCUGAGCGCCGCACACACACACACCCCCCACCCGGCCUCGCACACGCGGCCUCGCACGCGCGGCACGGCUCGGCUCACCUUCCACGGGAAGCUCCUCUGCGGGGCGGCCACGGCGCGGCAGCGGGGCGGGGAGAGAAGGAGGCCGUUAGCGCGCGGGGACGAUGGAGCCCGUGCGAGAACCCGUGCGAGGCCCCACGCUGGCAUCCCGCGACCUCGGGCCGCCCUUGGGAGACGGGGGGGGACGUGCAAGGGGGGGGGGGACGUGCAAGGGGGGGGGGCGUGCAAGGCAGGCGCUCGCACAAGGCCCGCGAGCCCCCCGUGUGCACCGGGGGCCGUGCGAUACGCGCACGUGGGUGUGGGGUGGUGGGUUGUGGUGCCCUCGGGGGGCAACGGGGGUUUGCACGGCCCAGAGGGGUUUGCACGGCCCAUUGCACGUCUCAGCAGGGUUUGCACGGCCCUUUGCACGGCCCAGAGGGGUUUGCACGACCCAGCAAGGUUUGCACAACCCAAAGGGGUUUGCACAGCUUGUAGCACGGUCCAGCAAGGUUUGCACGGCCCAUUGCACGUCCCAAAGGGGCUUGCACAGCCCAAAGGGGUUUGCACGACCCAGCAAGGUUUGCACGGCUCAGAGGGGUUUGCACGGCCCAUUGCACAGUCCAGAGAGGUUUGCACGACCCAGCAAGGUUUGCACGGCCCAUAGCACGUCCCAGCAGGGUUUGCACAUCCCAGCGGGCUUUGCACGACCCAGCAAGGUUUGCACGGCCCAUUGCACGUCCCAAAGGGGUUUGCACAGCCCAAAGGGGUUUGCACAGCCCAAAGGGGUUUGCACGGCCCAUUGCACGGCCCAAAGGGGUUUGCAUGGCCCAGAGGGGUUUGCACACUCCUCCAGGGUCUGCAAACCCUGUUGCACAUCCCAGCGGGCUUUGCACAUCCCAGAGAAUUUUGCACGCCCUGCGCAAUGCCUCAGCGACGUUUGCACGCCCUGCUGGGGUUUGCACAUCCCAGGGCACAUCCCGUGGGGUUUGCACGCUCCUCCAGGGCUUGCACACCCCGCAGUGCACCCCAGCAGGGUCUGCACGCCCCAUAGCACCUCCCAGCAGGCCUUGCACACCCCGGGGGGGAGGGUUGCACGCCCCAUAGCACGUCCCGGGGGGGUUGCAUGACCCAGGGGGGCUUUGCACGCCCCAUAGCACGUCCUCGUGGGGUUUGCACACUCCUCCAGGGCUUGCACACCCCAUAGUGCACCCCAGUGGGGUUUGCACGCCCCAGGGGGGGUUUGCACGCCCCAUAGCACAUCCCCAUGGGGUUUGCACACUCCUCCAGGGCUUGCACACCCCAUAGCACGUCCCAGCAGGGUUUGCACACCCCAGGGGGGUUUGCACGCCCCAUUGCACACCCCGGGGGGAUUUGCACGCCCCAUCACACACCCGCAGGGCCCCCGUCCCCCCCCUGCAUCGUUCCCCCCCCAGCGGCCUCAAGGACGCGGCGGCGGCGGCGCGGAGGAAAAACAUCCCCGUGGCGACGCGCCCCGGCAACCGUUCCCAGGGAGACAGGCGGACCGGCCGUCUCCAUGGCAACCUGCCCCGGGUUGCCAGGCAACGGGUCAGCCUUCCCCCGGCAACGGGCCCGCGAGGAUGCUGUCGCCGCGGCAACGGCGCCCGGUUGUCACG
ensembl:lncRNA